AGUGAACGCUGGCGGCGUGCCUAAUACAUGCAAGUCGAACGGAGUGGCGCACGGGUGAGUAAUAUAUAGCUAACUUGCUCAUUACUAAGGGACAACAGUUGGAAACGACUGCUAAUACCUUAUAGUAAUGGAUAGGGCUAUAUCGUAUCAGCUAGUUGGUAAGGUAACGGCUUACCAAGGCUAUGACGCGUAACUGGUGUGAGAGGAUGAGCAGGCAAACUGGAAGUGAGGCACCGUACAGGGUGCUACGGGAAGCAGCAGUAGGGAAUAUUGCUAAAUGGGGGAAACCCUGAAGCAGCAACGCCGCGUGAAGGAUGACACUUUGAGGAGAGUAAACACCUUUUCAUGGGAAAGCGGUACCCAAGGAAUAAGCACCGGCUAACUCCGUGCCAGCAGCCGCGGUAAUUC
rnacentral:rRNA from 1 species